CCUCAUGCUGACUGUCCCUGAGUGUUUCCAUUUUGUCUUUGCCGAUGGCAGGUGCCUGCUGUCUUCUUCUGAUCACCAGCCAGGUUCAGGGGGAGGGGAAUCCAUAUCCAUCCGGUUCAUUCCUUUCCCUGAACACACUCCUGCAUCUCAGGAAUCAGAUAACAGCAGGUGCUGUGACAUUAUGGCAAACAUUCUUGUCCUGGAGGAGUGGAUGUGUCACCUACUGAAUCUGCGUCUCGAACAUUUCAUCAAUCACCCAUUGAUUGUGCCUCCUCUGGAUCCCAGGCUCAGCUUUCGGCUAUAUAUUGAUGGACUUGAGGAUGAAAAUCUGCCAUCAUUACUACUCAUUAUCAACUUGAUUGGACUUAGAAUCACCAUAGAAACAUACCUCUGGGUGUGCCCAUGAAGAUACUUCUGGAAAGAUUUAAAUGAAGAAGGAAGAUCCAUCCUAGAUGCAAAUGAAGCCAUCCAAGGGCUAGGGGCUGAAACUGAAUAAAUGGAAGAGAACAAGUUCA
rnacentral:lncRNA from 1 species